rnacentral:rRNA from 1 species
GGGAAUAUUAGAAAUGGACGAAAGUCUGAUCUAGCAACACCGCGUGUGCGAAGAAGGCCUUCGGGUCGUAAAGCACUUUUUGGAAGGAAUAGGAAGGAAUGUACUUCCAGAAUAAGUCUCGGCUAACUACGUGCCAGCAGCCGCGGUAACACGUAGGAGGCAAACGUUAUCCGGAUUUACUGGGCGUAAAGCGCGUGUAGGUGGUACUGUAAGUAGGGCGUGAAAGCUCCUGGCUCAACUGGGAGAGGCCGUUCUAAACUACAGAACUACAGGAUGGUAGAGGGAGGUGGAAUUACAGGUGUAGCGGUGGAAUGCGCAGAUAUCUGGAGGAACACCGGUGGCGAAGGCGGCCUCCUGGA